UGAGGAAUAUUGGUCAAUGGACGAGAGUCUGAACCAGCCAAGUAGCGUGCAGGAUGACGGCCCUAUGGGUUGUAAACUGCUUUUGUAUGGGGAUAAAGUCAAUCACGUGUGAUUGUUUGCAGGUACCAUACGAAUAAGGACCGGCUAAUUCCGUGCCAGCAGCCGCGGUAAUACGGAAGGUCCGGGCGUUAUCCGGAUUUAUUGGGUUUAAAGGGAGCGUAGGCCGGAGAUUAAGUGUGUUGUGAAAUGUAGACGCUCAACGUCUGACUUGCAGCGCUACUGGUUUCCUUGAGUACGCACAACGUUGGCGGAAUUCGUCGUGUAGCGGUGAAAUGCUUAGAUAUGACGAAGAACUCCGAUUGCGAAGGCAGCUGACGGGAGCGCAACUGACGCUUAAGCUCGAAGGUGCGGGUAUCGAACAGGAUUAGAUACCCUGGUAGUCCGCACAGUAAACGAUGGAUGCCCGCUGUUGGUACCUGGUAUCAGCGGCUAAGCGAAAGCAUUAAGCAUCCCACCUGGGGAGUACGCCGGCAACGGUGA
rnacentral:rRNA from 1 species